AUCGUUGAAGAAUACUAACCGUUUUACAGCACAAUAACAAAAGAAGAUUGAACUUUCAAGAGUAGAUAAGAAGUCGUACGAGCAAACAAGAAUUAGCGAUCUCAUAGUAGAAGCAGCAAGCAAAAUUUAGCACUAAGUGUAGUGUAGAAUAUUGUAGAAGUCAGAGUAGGAGUGUAUGAUAAGAGGUCUGACAAUUGAAAGAGAAGGAUGUUUAUAUAGCAAAAGAGUAGAGAAAAUAAAAGGAAAGAGAAUAUUUGCAAAUUCAAUCAAAUCAACUAAAACAAAUAAACUGCACAUAUUUUACCUGAAUAAACAAGUCAAAAUAUUAUUCGAUCUUCAAGAGGCCGUAAAAAUAGGGAUACCAAUGGAUACUUCCCAUGUAAAGAAACAUAAUCACAUCAAAUUAGCACAGAAUAGAUCCAAUUAUAAUUGGGGGUAAACAUCUAUUUGGAUCAAAAAUCCACAUGCUUAAAAAGCAAAAAACAUAAUACACCCAAAGAACUACUAUACUACUGUAAUUACGCUAGUAAUCCAAUCAACUGGCUCAAAUUUUUGGAGUCAACAUUAUGACAGUACACAAUAAAAUUGCAUUCCUAAAAUAAAAUCUAGGAUUGACGAAAAAUUCAAAAUUAGUCAUUUUACAUAAAACAAAUGUGAAACCAGAAAAACAGACCAACAAUAUAACCACAAAUUUUAAGUUUAAAGAAAAGGGGAGCAGAAUAGAAUUAUAAUUGCAUGUAAAAAAUUAACUAUGAAAUUCAACCUAGGAUGGGUUCCUAAGAACCCAUCAUUUUUUCGGUGAGAUGUGGUGGCAGUGUCAUGGGAUGCAUGGAGACACAGCAACGGCGGCUGCAAUAAGAAGGCGGGCCGGUUCGUCGGUAGCUGCUGGUUUGCAUGGCUGGUUUAAGGCGGACACGUCAGUGGCUGGAGCAGAGCUCUUUGGUGGCUUUUGAUGCAGGCAACGGCGAUAGUGAGGUCCGACUAUCGUUAACAGUGCUUCGCCGGUCAUCACAUCUGGUGAAGCAGCAAUGAUGAGAGGCAGCAUUGAUCGAAGGUACGGUAGGAUGGCUGGCUCGCUGGUGAGCUACCAUUAUUUUUCCCAGCUGUGGAGAUGCAUCGGAUCUGGGCGACUAUGGCACUGGGCCUUCAUCGGUGUCGGCUGGUGUUGUUGCCCAUUUAACGGUGCUUAGUCGUCGGAGAGAAAAAUUGAGCAGAGGGGGUUUGGGUUGUGGGCGAACGCCGGUGGCGGAUGGACGGUGGCAGUUGGUGAGUUCUAGAAAGAAGGAGGAGAGAUAGAGAGAGAAAGUGGGGAUGGUGUGCGGUUGAUUUGGUGGAAUGAGUCUAGGGUUAGGGUUUUGAUUUUUUAAAAGGAAAGAAGGAGAUCGUUUGAUCUCAGUCGUUGGAUCAGUUUUGAUCGAAGGCUGAUAUUUAAUGGUUGAGGAAUUGGUCAAAAUUUAAAAAUAAUUUAAAAUUAAGUCCUAAAUUGACUAUAAUUGUAAUAAAUGGCUGAAAUUGGAAUGUCUUGGGUAAAAAAUGGACUAAAAGAUAAAUAAAUCAGGAAAAUUAAUUUAACUUUAGGCUGUUAUUUAAAUAAUAGUAGGGAUAAUAAUAGUAAAUAAUAUAUAAUAAUAAUAAUAAAUAAUAAAUAAUACUAAUAUUAAUAAUAAUAAAUGUUAUAAAAAAUGAUGUAUUUGGAAAUUGAGAGUAUGCCUAUUUAUGAAAAUAAUUAUCUAAAAUUAUGUCGAGAAAUAUUAUAUUUAAAUUAAUGAAUGAUACUGUAAGGUGGUAAAAUAAUUUGUAUAUUUUAAAAUCGUGAAUGGACACAUCAAAAUCUGUUUGACACAAGAAAACUGUGUAAAAGUAUCAACAUUUAAAAUUGGUAAAUUUUGUUAAAAUAACAUCCUAAAAUAAGUAUCAGGAGGUACAAAAUUAGGUGUUAAUAGCUGCCCCUUCGUUUCUUGGGAAUGAUAAAAGAAUUGUCAAGCAACAAAAGUUGAUGUGGUAGCCAAUUUUAUCCGACCGAGGAAGAUUCUUUGGAGUUAAAACAAUAGGAGGUGAUUUUAAAAAUAAUAUGGCUGAGACUUCGAUUUCAAGUCGCCUACAUAUCUCUGGUUUUAUGAGAAUCAGGCCGUUUGUAGUUCUAGAUUUAGGAAUGAACAAUAUUUCUAAAGAAUGUCAAUGAUAAAGGAUGGGCAUUCAAUAAAGGUGUUGUAGGUCGGUCAAUGAGACGGAAUUGAAUGGGAUUUGGAAUAGUGGCGUAUGGAGAAGUUUGAAAAUAUUGAGGUAGGUGAGGUGAUGGAUAAAUAGAUGGAGUAAUAUUUUAGAAACAAAAACUAAAAUUGUCUUUGUUUGUUAUUCCUUCUUUGUUACCUGCAUAUUUACACCGUACUAAAUAAAAAAGGUUAGACAUGUAAGAAAUAAACAUUUGAUAAAUAUAAAGUAAAGGUGGAGACAAGAAAGAUAUCUGUUGUAUUGUGGGAUCAGCGAUUUGGCUUCUCAAUGUACUGUGGAAUCAUGGGAUCAGUUGUUUGUCUUCUCAUUGUGGAGUAAUCUGUACCUAUUAGUCCUAUCACUCUUAGCUCAAUUGGAUAAAAUGGUUAGCAUGGAUAUAUAUGUAUGUAUAGAAGAUUUGAUCAAUAUAGUGAAAACAACCAAAACAAUAAUGAUAAGAAGAGAUAAGAAAGUGUAUCUGUCAUGAGAGAGUAAUGCUUUGUUCAUAUAAAAAUUUAAAGAGGUCGUGCUUAAUCCACACUAUAUCUAGUAAACCAAUAGCAUUUAAUAACACUGAGGCAGUUAUGCUUAGCAUGUUCAGCAGUAGAAAAUAAUAUUCAUUUUUUAGUAACCCAAUUGACUUUCAGAGGACAAUGCUUAGCCUCAGGCAGUUUCUCAAAUUUACAAAACAAUGCUUAGCUUCGAAUAAUUUCUCGAGAGAGGGUAAUGCUUAACCCAACUAAAUUUCAAGGACUAUGCUUAGCCUCAUUCAGUUUCUCAAAAAACAGUAGUGCUUAACCCACUUAACUUUCCAAGGACAAUGCUUAGACUUAGAGAGUUUUUGAUAGAGUAGUGCUUAACUCCAUCAAAUUUCUAAAACAAUGCUUAGUUCGGAUGAUUUCAUGAGAGAGAAGUGGUGCUUAACCCGACUAACUUUCAAGACAAUGUUUAGCCUUAGUCAGUUUCUCGAAAAAGGGCAGUGCUUAAACCACUUAAAUUUCUAAGGACAGUGCUUAGCCUUAGAGAGUUUUUGAUAGAGUAGUGCUUAACUCUAUCAAGUUUCCUAAAAAAUGAUUAGUUUGGAUGAUUUCUCGAGAGAGGGUAGUGCUUAACCCAACUAACUUUCAAGGACAAUGCUUAGCCUCAGUCAGUUUCUCGAAAAAGGGUAGUGCUUAACCCACUUAACUUUCCAAGGAAAAUGCUUAGCCUUAGAGAUUUUUUGACAGAGUCGUUCUUAACUCCAUCAAAUUUCUGAAACAAUGCUUAGCUUUGGAUGAUUUCUCGAGAGAGAGCAGUGCUUAACCCAACUAACUUUCAAGGACAAUGCUUAGCCUCAGUCAGUUUCUUGAAAGAGGGUAGUGCUUAACCCACUUAACUUUCGACGGACAAUGCUUAGCCUUAGAGAGUUUAUGAUAGAGUCGUGCUGAACUCCAUCGAAUUUUCAAAACAAUGCUUAGCUUUGGACAAUUUCUCGAGAGAAGGUAAUGCUUAACCCAACUAACUUUCAAGGACAAUGCUUAGCCUCAGUCAGUUUCUCGAAAGAGGGUAGUGCUAAACCCACUUAACCUUCCAAGGACAAUGCUUAGCCUUAGGGAGUUCUUGAUAGAAUCAUUCUUAACUACAUCGAAUUUCCAAAAUAAUGUUUAGUUCAAAUAAACUUAUUGAGAGAGGGUAGUACUUAACCCAAUUAACUUUUCAAGAACAAUGCUUAGCCUCAAGAAGUUUAUCUCGAGAGGGUAGUGAUUAACCCACUCAGAACAUAGGAUGAUAAUAAUUAACCUUAUAUUUUGUGAUGGUGUAUGAAAUGCUUGAGAUUUUUACCCGUCACUCUAUACCUACACUCAAAGAAAUAUUGUUAGUUUUAAAAAAGGAAAAAGAUUGAUUCGUGUCUCUGUCAAUUCCUUUGCCCAGGUCCUGAAUCCAUUGUCUUUAUAUCGCUUUCUUGAGAUGCAAUCCUUGAUGAAAAUUUGAGGAUCCUCAAAAAUUUCUGCCCCGGUUUCAUGGCCUCAAUCUUUCUAGCCUUGAAUUUGUUAAAAUGUUUCUUGAUAGAAUUUUUGAGACCCUCUCAAAAAUUCUUCCCCAGUUACAUGUCUCGUCCGUCUUAAACUUGUAGAAUCAUAGAAUUUUUGAAAUCCUUUCAAAAAUUUUGCCCCAGUUACUUGCUUCAGGAAAAUAUGAAAGUUUCAUUGUGAUGAGACCGAACUCAAUAGGAGCGCCUGCGUAUCCCUCUUAAAUGGGAAUCAAGUCAAAUGUAGUUCAAAGUACAUAGGAGAAAUUCGUAUUGUUCCAAGCAUGUGUAAAGAUUAUAGUAACCCAAGUACUUGAGAUACUGAAAUGAGAAGACGACGUGAUAUCCCUUCCUUAAUGUUAGAGACGCCAGUUCUUAAUCAACAUCAAGAUAUGGCCCCAUCACAUUUAUCGCUUUGGUAUCAAUCAGUGCUUGAAUUUUGUCCUUUAAAACACGCCAUUCUUCAGUGGUGUAGCUUGUCAUCCUUGAAUGAUAAGCACAAACUUUGAAAUAAUCAAUCCAUUUAGCAUAUGUAUUCAUUACAAUUGCAGAAAUUGAAGUAAUGUAGCCAUCAACCCUUAAUCUCUCAUAAAGUUGGUCUAUAGGCUCAGCCAAAGGAGUGUACUGUCUUGAUAAUUUUUUUAAAGCUUGGCUUAAGGUAUGAUAAAUUGAUUGGGUCGUAGAUUUGUUGGUGCAUAAGCUAAUGGUUGUUAGAAAGUAGUUGAAAGAAUUUGUGAGCACGCAGGUAGUGCGAGAUAGUUGGUAGGACUAUAAGAUAGUAUGGGGUAAUUCUAUGUCGUUGCGGGGAAUGAAGGUGCUUGAUAUAUGGGUGUUUGGUAUUGAAGCGGAGGAGGUGGUGUUUGGUUUUUGGGAUUUUGAGUAGUCAAGAUAGUAUUUACUUCCUUCAUGUUAUUAUUCUCAUCAGCCUGUAAAGUCUUAAUCGCUUGCAGUGCCUCCAAAUUCGUUAUCAUGCCAUUUUAAUGACUUCUUCAAUUCUCUCGCCCAAUUUGAUGAUGUCAACAAGCUUUUGAUCCUCUAUAAGAAUCAUCCUUUCAUAAUAUUGUGGCUCUUGGGAACGUAUGAAAAAUUCUUUCAUUUGACCUUCCUCUAAAGGAGGAUGCACCUUACAAGCUUCACGUAUCCACCUCAAUCCAUAUACUCAACACGAUUUUGUAGGUUUCUUCUUUAACUUCUGAAUGUAGAACGAAUCAGGCACAUUCUAAAUACUAAACCCAAAUCUUUCUAUAAAAGCCGAGGCUAUGUCGAUCCAUUUCGACCAUUUUGUUGCAUCUUGUGGACAUACCAUGACAAAGCAUCUUCAGUGAGACUUUUAUGAAUAAUUUCCUAAGAAUCUACUCGUUUUUUCCAACUCUAACUAGCUUGUAGUAGUAUAGUUUCAAAUGGACUUUCAAAUCUCCAGUCCCAUUGUACAUUUCAAAUUUAGAAGGUUUGUAACUCCUGGCAGUUCAACGUCAGGGUGCACGCAUGGGUCCUCAUAACUUAGCCCUUUCAACUCUUUAUUACCUUCAAGUUGUUCCAAUCUUUCAACCACGGAUUGCAUAAGGGCAGCAUUUUCUAAAGGUUUGGAUUUAUAUUGGUGGUAGGUAAAUAGGGUCGUUUUGUCAUAACUCAAAUGUAAAGUAUGGCUGCUUGGAUCAUGAAAAUGAGGCAUAUUUGUGGUAAAUGUUGGCGGCAUAUUAUGGACAUAUGAUGAUAUUUGCAAAUUUAGUAGGACUGGAUAUGUGUGGUAUUGUGGUAGACAAGAAUGUGGAUAUGAGUUAUGUUUAGGAAGCGUGUAUAUGUGAUUUGAAUUGUUUGGGGGUUGUGAAAUAGGAAGUGAUGGUAAGGGAUGACUUGUGAAGAUGGGAUGGGAUUUAAUAGUUGUGUUACCCUCAAUUUGUGGUUUGAGAGGAGAAUUCAAAGCAAGGGGUAGAUUAGAUAAGUUACGGGCUUGUGACAAUUUCCUUUGUAGUUGAAGGAUUCUUUGCUCUAUUUGUAAGAUCAUCUCAUUAUGCUCAUUUCUAGCAUCGUUGUUAUCACCCAUUUCAUUGUUUUGGUGACUAAGCUUUAAGAGAAGGAGACUGAGCCUUGAUGGGCGAGAUAAUGCACGAAUCAAUCCUUUGGGCGUGAAAGAAAAAAUAAAUAAAAUUAAAAUUAAAAAGAAGAAAGAAAAAAAAGUUAAGUUAGUAAGAUAUGUAGUGAAAAAAUAAACAUGUUAAUAUGCCAGAAUAAAAUGUUUUAUAAUGUACGGAGCCUUAUUAAGUCCGAAGUAGGUCGAGAAUGACAAAUAUAUAUGACUUACGAUAUUAUAAUCCAAGUCUGACGUAAAAGAAGUUUGGAAUUAGAAAUUCCUAACCACAUUUGCUCAAUCUUUGGUUCAGAUUACUUUAUCACGAUCACAAGAAGCAUAGCAUGAAUAUUUAUUGUUGGUAGGAUAAGGCGAGAAUAAAGAAAUAAAUUUCAAAUAGUGUUUCUCCUUGGGCGAGAAGAAAAAUGAUGAAAUUUUUUUGCAUGUUUGUCAUAACGCAGAUUUUCAAAUGAAUCGAUGUUUGAAAAAUAGCAAUUUGAACAAAACAGGAGCGAGUGUACCUAGUAAGAGAAGAGAUAGUAUGAUAAUAUGAGUCAUUUUGUCAAAGAGGACUUUAGGACGAAUGGGUGGGUUGGGAUUUAAGCUUUAGAAGUGAAUUGAUGUUAAAAGACAAAAGAUAAAUGAUAAACAAGACUUAGGUACUGUGCAUACUUGGAGUUGAUGGGGUGAACAAGUAAAUAAUGAUAAGAUAUUAAAAGAUGCACGUAGAAUGUUGAAGGCAUUUUAUUUUGAAAAGAGGGGAAGAUUGAAGAUUUAAAAAUUUUGACGUAUUUUGUUUGAAAUAUUUUGAGAAUUUGAAAGAUUGUAAAAGGUCGUUGGAAUAAAAAGCUUCUAAUUCUCACCCUUAUGACAUUAUGGAAUGGUGGUGAAAGAUAUAGAGAAUAUGAUUUGAUAGAAAAAACUACUGGACUGAUCACAUUUUCAAAAAUUAGGACGUUUUGUAAAAUGGAGGGAAAAGAAAGACCGUAUCCUUAUAAAGGAUUGCCUACAUAUCUUGUUGGAACAAGAAUCAGGUCAGACGUAAAUCAAAAUUUUGAGAGUUAUAUAAGUUGAAUAACAAGUGAGGAUGUUGGAGGAUUUUGAAUAGGCCCUAAGAGUGUAUUGUAGGGUCCUAACAUUGUACGAACUUUAAGAGUAAAGAGCUCUAAAGUGAGGCACACUAAAUGUAAGGAGUGACUAAGGCAAUAACGGAAACAACAAGAUAAGUAGGAUGUCAAUACAUACAUAGAAAUGCAGAACAUAACAAAUAAUUUUGAGUCCCUUUGAGGUCGUGAACCUCUUUGAACUUUGAAUGAGACUAACAUUCAAUGCGUCAAGGAUGCCAAGGCAUCCUACGUUGAAUGGGACGCAUAUUCCUUAAUAAAAGAAAUAUGUAGCUAAAACCUAAAGGGCAAGAGUGGGUUAAUGACAUAGUUCCCUCGAGUGGACAACUCGAGAGUGGGAAAACUUGUGGUUGUCAACGCACGGCUGAUUGACCGAUCCAUAAGGCAUUUCUCGAAGGGUGUUUUAGGAAAGAACGUCCGUGCAACCACGCAAUUGUUCGUACAAAAAAAAUAAAGGAGAUCCCAAGUGGAGGAAAGUAUGAGCGGGAUACCAAUUAUAUAAAGCAGUAAGAAUAGCACAUAGAAACAUAUAAUAACAUGCUUUAGUAAUAAAAAAAAUAAACAUUAAAACACAUAUCCAAUAAAAGAAAAGUAGACAUGGAGAAAUAUUAAUAACACAAAAAGGAAAAAGGAGAAAGGACUAAUAAAUCAUGAUGUAAGUAAACGAUAAAAGAAGAACAUAUAAAAAAUAAAUUAAGAUGUCAAACAUCAUCAAAACAAAAGGAGAGAAUCCUACAUGAAGCACAAAUUUGUAAUGGUUAGAACUUAAAAUCCCCAGCAGAGUCGCCAUUCUGUCGCGCCCCAUUUUCCUUGCAAAAAGCGAGAUUCGACGUGACCACUCUUUUUGGAAUUAUUUCGAGAGGAGAGUGAAGAGUCGCCACCUAACUAAUUAAGGUGUGUUAGGGCACCAGUCUAAGCCAACUACAAACCUUUUUUAUUGUUUUGUCUUAGCUCACAAGAAAUUUGGUUAAGAGUUCAAAUUACAUCAAAAGAAAGUGUUAGGCACCUUUUGAGGUCCACGAAGGUAGUUUCCGACCGAAUUCAUAUUUUACGUGGGUAUUCUACGUGCUCAAAUAAGGUCGCUUAUUUCAUUAUUAAUUGAUGCUAACUAAGUGAUAAAAUAGUAAAUAAGUAAACAUGUUAUUUAAUUAUUUUUAAUUAAUAAUUAUCUAUGUGAUAAAAAUCAAUUAAACAUAGGAGAAGAAAGAAAUGACAUGAGUAUAUUAAAUUAAGAAACAUAAACUAUCCUAAAAAAAAUAUAGUAUUAAUUGAAUUAAUAAAGUAAACCAUUUUCAAUUUGAAUAAAGUUGUUUGAAGAAAAUGUUUGUCACUUUUAUAGAAAAGAUGUCACGAUAUUAUUAAUCACGCCCUUUUACCUUGGCAACAAUUUUGAUUGGAGAUCGGUCUUAAGUAAAAAUAAUAAUAAUAUAAUUUUUAAAAGACAAGUGAAAAUUUGAGUAUCAAAAUAUAACACAUAAAAAUAUUUAUAUAUGUAUAAAUAUACACAUAUUCAAAAAAAACAUUGGUUAGUGGUAUUCCCGAGGACGCGUCGGCUUGCUUUUAAAAUAUGAGAAUUAAAAAUCGUAAUUCUUUUUACUUUCCCGCCAACUAUAAGUUAGGAGAUAGUGUAUAUGUAAUUAAUAAUUUUUAAAAGACAUUGUCCAAUUCAAGUUGUAAAAAGCCAGAAAAAAAGAAUUAAACCAAAAUGUUAGCAAUUAAUGUUGUGUUUUAAAAAUGUUUGCAUAAACAAAGUAGGAAAAUUAGUUAAUAUGCUGAAAAUAUUAUUUGAAGACUGAAAAUUAACAUAUAAUUGUUGAGAAUGUGAUUUAAAAUGCGAAAAUGUCAUUUGUUAUAUGUCAAAGUUAUGCCAAAAGUAAAUAAAUUUGUUGUAACCUAAGUUGACAUAUUCAAACGUGAUUUAACGAGGCAAAAUUAAUUAAACUCCUAAAAGUAUGAUUUAUAAGAGAUUAAAAUAAAUCCUAAAUUAGGUUUGCCUAAGUGAUUUGCAUAAUACGUAAAGCACAUAAAUCCCUUCCCCCAAAACAGUCCCAUAAAUAUUAUUACAACAUAUCCUUUGUACAAUAAUCCUCACAGGCCAAUAUUAAAUGAAAUAAAAAAAAAAAAUACGAAGAGCUAGAUUGGAUAGCUCUUAACGACUACAUGCCAACUCUGUCUCGUCUAAAUACUUGUCCUUAACCUGUGAUAACAAAGAAAUAACCAAAACACAUUCCGAAUCUAGAAUACCUUUAGUGACACAUAACCAACCUUUGAUGCUGUCGAGAUCCUGGGGAUCCCAGGCAGGCUCAUGCCAAAGAAGCUAUGUGACGUGUAAAUAAUAUUUCAGAGUCACGUACAACAAGCAUGCUAAUGGAAAAGAACAUUUAGAAAAAGAAAAUAUGUCACAACUAAUAUGAAUACCCAAUAAGAGUCACGGAAAUACAAAAAAAAAAUAGGAGGUUCAUGUCGUCAAGCAUUUAAAGUAUGCAAAUCCAAGCAAAAAUCAAAACCACAUAGUAUAAAAGGAACUAAUGCAUCGUUGAAGAAAACUAACCGCUUUACAGCACAAUUACAAAAGAAGAUUGAACUUUCAAGAGUAGAUAAGAAGUCGUACGAGCAAACAAGAAUUAGCGAUCUCAAAGUAGAAGCAGCAAGCAAAAUUUAGCACUAAGUGUAGUGUAGAAUAGGGUAGAAGUCAGAGUACGAGUGUAAGAUAAGAGGUCUGACAAUUGAAAGAGAGGAUAUUUAUAUAGCAAAGGAGUAGAGAAAAUAAAAAGACAGAGAAUAUUUGCAAAUUCAAUCAAAUCAAUUAAAGAAAAAUAAACAGCUCCUAUUUACCUAAAUAAACAAGUCAGAAUAUUAUUUGAUCUUCAAGAGGCCAUCACUAGGUUUAGUGUAGAAGUGUAAGAUAAGAGGUCUGACAAUUGAAAGAGAGGAUAUUUAUAUAGCAAAAGUGUAGAGAAAAUAAAAGGAAAGAGAGUAUUUGCAAAUUCAAUCAAAUCAAUUAAAAAAACAUAAACAACUCCUAUUUACCUUAAUAAACAAGUCAGAAUAUUAUUUGAUCUUCAAGAGGCCAUAAAAAUAGGGAUACCAAUGGAUACUUCCCAUGUUAAGAAACGUAAUCACAUCAAAUUAGCACAGAAUAGAUCCAAUUAUAAUUGGGGGUAAACAUCUAUUUGUAUCAAAACUCCACAUGCUUAGCAAGCAAAAAUCACAAUACACCCAAAGAACUACUAUACUGUUGUAAUUGCGCUAGUAAUCCAAUUAACCGGUUCAAAUUUUCGGAGUCAAAAUUAUGACAGUAGACAAUGAAAUUGCAUUCCUAAAAUGAAAUCUAGGAUUAAUGAAAAAUUCAAAAUUUGUCAUUUUACAUAAAACAAACGUGAAACCAGAAAAACAGACCAACAAUAAAACCAUAAAUUUUAAGUUUAAAGAAAAGAGUAGCAGAAGAGAAUUAUAAUUGCAUGUAAAAAAUUAAAUACGAAAUCCAACCUAGGAUGGGUUCCUAAGAACCCAUCAUUUUUUCGAUGAGUUGUGGUGGCAGUGUCAUGGGAUGCACAGAGAGACAGCAAUGGUGGCUACAAUGAGAACGAAGGUUGGUUCAUGGGUAGCCGCUGGUUUGCAUGGCUGGUUUGAGGUGCCACGGCGACGGCUGGAGCUACGGAGCUCGGUUUUGAUGUCUUUUGAUACGAGCAGCGGCAAUGGUGAGAUCCGGCUAUCAUUAACAGUUCUUUACUGGUCAUCACCUACGAUGAAGCAGCAAUGAUGGGAGGCGACGCUGAUCGGAGGUGCAGUGGGACGUUCGGCUCACUGGUAAGCUGCCGUUAUUUAUUUCAGCGAUGGAGAUGUACCGGAUCUGGGCGACGAUGGCGCUGGGCCUUCACCAGUGGCGGCUAGUGUUAUUGCCUGUUCAACAAUGCUUAACCGUCAGAGAGAAUAAUAGAGGAGAGGGGGUUCGAGCUGUGGGCGGUCACCGGUGGCGGCUGGUGAGUUCUAGAGAGAAGGAGGAGCGAUAGAGAGAGAAAGUGGAGGUGGUGUUCGGUUAAUUUGGUGGAAUGAAUCUAGGGUUAGGGUUUUGAUUUUUUAAAAGAAAAGAAAGAGAUCCUUUGAUCUCAUUGGAUCAGUUUUGAUCGACAACUAGAUUUAGAGGUUGAGGAAUUG
rnacentral:lncRNA from 1 species